rnacentral:rRNA from 1 species
UACGUAGGUGGCAAGCGUCUGUCCGGAUUUACUGGGCGUAAAGGGCGUGCAGGCGGUCUGUUAAGUGCAGGGUGAAAGCUCCCGGCUCAACUGGGAGAGGUCCUUGCAUACUGGCGGACUUGAGGGGGGUAGAGGAAAGUGGAAUUCCCGGUGUAGUGGUGAUAUGCGUAGAUAUCGGGAGGAACACCUGUGGCGAAGGCGGCUUUCUGGGCCCUACCUGACGCUGAGACGCGAAAGCGUGGGGAGCGAACCGG